AAGAGGACCACCUUCUUCCCGGAUGUGAGAUCGGAGGUGGUGAUGGUGCAGAGCUCGCCGGCGGCGUCGAAGAAGGAGAGAGUGGAGUCAGGGAGCUUCUCACCGGCGGCGAUGGUGGCGGAUGUGGAGAAAUUGAGAGAUGGUUUCGGGCGGAAAGAAGUGGGAGGGGAGCGGAGUGCAGCGGAGCGGAAGAGCCUCGCGGCGGCGCUAGUGGCGGAUGUGGAGAAGUUGAGAGAUAGUUUCGGGCGGAGAGAGAGGGGAGGGGAAUGGAGUGCGGCGGAGCGGCAGAGCCU
rnacentral:misc_RNA from 1 species